CGUAUAUUAAAGUUGUUGCAGUUAAAAAGCUCGUAGUUGGAUUUGUGGUUGAUCGCUGGAUCCUCUUUAGAGGCGUCCGUGUGGUUGACCAUCCUUGGGUGGAUGUUGCGUGGCAUUCGGUUGUCGCGCAGGGGAUGCCCAUCGUUUACUGUGAAAAAAUCAGCGCGUUCCAAGCAGGCUUAUGCCGUUGAAUGUAUUAGCAUGGAAUAAUGAGAUAGGACCUCGGUACUAUUUUGUUGGUUUGCGCACUGGGGUAAUGAUUAACAGGGACAGUUGGGGG
rnacentral:rRNA from 1 species